GCAAGUCGAACGAGAGCGACCGGUGCUUGCACUGGUCAAUCUAGUGGCGAACGGGUGAGUAACACGUGGGUAACCUGCCCAUCAGAGGGGGAUAACAUUCGGAAACGGAUGCUAAAACCGCAUAGGUUCUUUAGUCGCAUGACUGAAGAAGGAAAAGAGGCUUCGGCUUCUGCUGAUGGAUGGACCCGCGGUGCAUUAGCUAGUUGGUGAGGUAACGGCUCACCAAGGCGAUGAUGCAUAGCCGACCUGAGAGGGUGAUC
rnacentral:rRNA from 1 species